rnacentral:rRNA from 1 species
UGCAUAUCCCAAAAGCGGAGGAAAAGAAACCAACUGGGAUUACCUUAGUAACGGCGAGUGAAGCGGUAAAAGCUCAAAUUUGAAAUCUGGUACUUUCAGUGCCCGAGUUGUAAUUUGUAGAAUUUGUCUUUGAUUAGGUCCUUGUCUAUGUUCCUUGGAACAGGACGUCAUAGAGGGUGAGAAUCCCGUUUGGCGAGGAUACCUUUUCUYUGUAAGACUUUUUCGAAGAGUCGAGUUGUUUGGGAAUGCAGCUCAAAGUGGGUGGUAAAUUCCAUCUAAAGCUAAAUAUUGGCGAGAGACCGAUAGCGAACAAGUACAGUGAUGGAAAGAUGAAAAGAACUUUGAAAAGAGAGUGAAAAAGUACGUGAAAUUGUUGAAAGGGAAGGGCAUUUGAUCAGACAUGGUGUUUUUUGCAUGCACUCGCCUCUCGUGGGCUUGGGCCUCUCAAAAAUUUCACUGGGCCAACAUCAAUUCUGGCAGCAGGAUAAAUCAUUAAGAAUGUAGCUACUUCGGUAGUGUUAUAGCUUUUUGGAAUACUGUUAGCCGGGAUUGAGGACUGCGCUUCGGCAAGGAUGUUGGCAUAAUGGUUAAAUGCCGCCCGUCUUGAA